rnacentral:lncRNA from 1 species
GUUACCUUCCACUUCCUCCGUGCCCUCCAUCAGCAUAUCCUUUGUAAAGUUUGAUAUCUGGCCAGUGAGGGAAGCCAGGCUGCCCCCGACUUGACCCAGAGACUGGCCCAAUCCGGAGCCGAGGCCCCCAAGCCAGGACGACAUCGCGGCGAGUUUAGAGAACGACCCGGUCCGCUCGGAAAAAAGAAAACGUUUAGCGCCGCCGGGCGAUCCGACCAAAUAUCCUUGAACGCCUGCCUUCGCGAGACAGGAUACGAUAACACAAAGCUGGGUUCUCAGGCAAGGCCGACUCCAGGUUCUGCCUAGAAACGCAGAGGCCUGGCCUGGAAUUUUACCAGGGGCCCGCCUCUAGUGACACAGUCACCUACGGAGGGCCUUCUGCUCAUUCCCACGAAUUCCCACCGUCCAGAUUGGGCCACUUCUUUCUCAGCUCUAAUGACUUUCCUCAGUUCCGUGGGUUACUCCUGCCAACUCGACGCCGGCCGCCAUGACACUCGCUCGGAAAGCGGCAGCGGAUCAUAGAAAAGCGCCGCGGUGGCGUAGACAGGCCCCGCGAAGCCGCCGGACGUGUCCUUGGCGCAAGGGAGGCUGGGAUCGCGGAGGACCGAGCGCGGGCUGGAUUAACCGCAGCCAGUGCCUAGCGCAAGGUUAGGUGCAUGCAGGCGGCCAGCUUCGGCCGGGGAAGGAAUGGCCUGGAUAACUGGGGCAUCGCGGCGCUCCUCGGCCUCCUGCAGCUGCGUUUCAAAGCAGAGCCGACCCUUGGUGGGUAGUCCGGGGACCCUGCGGACCCUCCUUGUGUUGUUGAAACCUAGUGUUUUAAUUGGGACUACACCCAGCAGUGCCGGGAGACUUGGCGGGGACGUUCCACUGCGCAGGAAGUGGCUUCAAAUAACUUACACGCGUCACUGUGUCGAUUAGCUGCUCCGUGACAGGCACUAUGGUAGGAGCUGAGGCUACAAAGAUAGAACGGAUGGGUUGCAAAAAAAAAAAAGGAAAAAGGAAAAAAGAAAGGAUGGGUUGCAAAUUCAGGUGUCCAAGCAGGAAACACACCUUCCUUCUAUAGGAGAAAUCUCCUCUGGUGGCUUUAUAGCUCACAAUUGAAACCCUACCUUCUUUAACAUACGAUGAGCUUUUUUCAUGAAGCUGCCCUCACCCAAGUAGUUGAAAAACGGACAACCGUUUUUCAAAAUGACUCGUUAGAAGACAGCAGGGCAACUUAAUAGAGAAGUGCCGUUUAGUGUCAACGCUCCUAUGGUAUUGGCGGCACUAGCUAUGCAAGUGCCCACACCUCCCUCAGUCCUUAGUUACCCACACUGGCUGUAACACACAGAGUCCUACCUUGCUUGCUUCCUUCCCUAAAGGAAGAAAGGUUGUCAUGUGACUUUCAAGCAAUUGGUGCAGGAUACGUGGACACACAGCAUCUAGCCAGGGAGACUUCCACAUUUUUUGGUUUCAAAAGGAUAUGAUAGAUCUGCAGUUCUUUUAAGCAUAGCAAUAAGUAUACUGGCAUCUUUCACUUUGAUUAUAUUCACAAGAGGGGCUAUCACAGAUUGCACAGUUUGUGAACAGAACAUUGGGAAUGCCUCCAGUAUUUGGGAUCUGAUGGCACCAGGCAGUAGUAAUUCUCCGUGAAAGCUGAAUUUUUUUUUUUUAAAUUUUAUUUUUUGAGAUGGAGCCUCGCUCUGUGGCCCAGGCUGGAGUGCAAUGGCGGGACCUAGGCUCACUGCAACCUCGUCUCCCGGGUUAAAGCGAUUCUCCUGCCUCAGGCUCCCAAGUAGCUGGGACUACAGGCGCCCAUUCUUCAUUUUACUAAUGAGAAACCAGUGCCCAGAAAUGUUAAGUAACCCAUCCAAGGUCAUACAGCUAGUAAGUGACAGACCCAGGCAGUCAGGCGUUGGAGUCUGCACAUCUAACCGCUGGGCUGUGAUGUUCACAUGAAUGCAGGGACAGCAUUUAAUAAACACUUCCAGAAUGAGAUGUGAAUUUUAUUUUAAGCACAUUCAGAUAUCCAGUGUGACUCCGGGAUGUAAAAAAAAAAAAAAAAAAAAAAAACAGGGCCGGGUGCAGGGGCUUACGCCUGUAAUCUCAGCACUUUGGAAGGCCGAGGCAGGUGGAUCACCUGAGGUCAGGCGUUCAAGACCAGCCUGGCCAA